GAUGAAGAACGUAGUGAAAUGCGAUACGUAAUGUGAAUUGCAGAAUUCAGUGAAUCAUCGAAUCUUUGAACGCAUAUUGCGCUCUCUGGUAUUCCGGAGAGCAUGCUUGUUUGAGUAUCAGUAAACACCUCAACUUCCAUAUCUUUUUUGAAAUGGGAGUUGGACUUGAGUGAUCCCAACGCUUUUCCUCACCGAAAAGUGGCGGGUUACUUGAAAUGCAGGUGCAGCUGGACUUUUCUCUGAGCUAUAAGCAUAUCUAUUUAGUCUGCCUAAAAACAGAUUAUUACCUUUGCUGCAGCUAACAUAAAGGAGAUUAGUUCUUGUGCUGACUGAUGCAGGAUUCACAAAGACAGGCCUCGGCCGACUUUGUAAACUCGAUCUCAAAUCAAGUAAGACUACCCGCUGAACUUAAGCAUAUCAAUAAGCGGAGGA
rnacentral:misc_RNA from 1 species